rnacentral:lncRNA from 1 species
GGUGGACUUGAUCCGCUGCUGUUGAAUGGCAUGUAUGAUCAAGGGAUGGUUAGGCAACAUGUUGCCACUGCCCAGUCAAGUGGUGGUAGUGCGAGCAGUGUGGCAUUACCUGGGCUAGGGAAGAGUUCAACACCGGUUUUAGCACUCCCUGCACCCGAUGGAACAGUCCAGACAGUUGGACUGGAUCCAUUUGCUGCAUCUUUGACUGUCCCACCUCCUUCGUAUGUACAAAUGGCGGAUUUGGAGAAGAAACAGCAAUUACUUGUACAGGAGCAAAUUGUAUGGCAGCAAUACGCUAGAAAUGGGAUGCAAGGACAGAUGAGUUUGUCCAAGAUCAGCAGCGGCGGAUACUAUGGUACACAACCAGCUGGGAUGCCUUAUGGCAUGCCACCAGUAAAUGGCGUUGGAGUGCCACCUGCUGGAGGGUACUACUACACUCCUUACUGAUUUUACCAAGUAUACAUCACUUUUUCUAUUUCAUUGUUAUGUUCUUUAUCUAGUGCUUUAAUUUUUU